CUAUUACACAAUUUACUUUGAAUGCAAUGUGAAUAAUAAAAUGUUUAACUGUUUCACUUCUGUGUUUUUUGUUUUGUGUUUUGUUGUUUUUUUUUUUUUUUUAAUUUGAGGUUGGAAUAUUGCUGAAGAUCUAAAUUCCAUAUUACUUCAGAAGAUGAGCAGAACUGAAAAUUAAGUGAGCUGUGUUUUCCAAUUGCAGUGAGAUCUUUCAAGAACCAACAAGAUGGAGAAUCAAGAACAGGAGCUUACCAUACAGUCUUGAGGACAACCAAAGCAGGUCAGUUUGGAACUUACUGUUUUGUUCAGAUCUUCACUACCCUAGCGAAGAGUUGGUUGAGGUAGA
rnacentral:lncRNA from 1 species